GUCUAUGGCCAUGCCACCCUGAACAAGCCUGAUCCCAUCUGAUUUUGUGAAGCUAAGCAGAGUCAGGCCUGGUUAGUACUUGGAUGGGAUACCACCUAGGAAGACCAGGUGCUGUAGGUU
rnacentral:rRNA from 1 species